UAUCCCCUUUCUCUAAAACUCCACACGUCCCACUCAGACUGCCACUCGCCUUCUCCUCGUCGGCGAAAUGCUCGCCAUCCCCGCCGUCUCCGCCUCUCCCCGCUUUCCCCUCCCGUUCCUCCCCGUCCUGAACCCCCGCCCUCCUCUCAUCCCCCCUCUCCGCCGCCGCUGCCUCUACAGACACCGCGUGCGCCGCCAAUGCCACGGCGGCGGUGGCCCACCGCUCCACCUCCUCCACCCCGUCGCCAGUCGGCGCACGGGCAUCGUGAUCGACGUCGACGAGGUCCAAGACAUUGGCGACCGAGACCUCCCAGUAGGUCUAUCCUUCACCCGGAGGCUCCCGCCGGUGCUCACCCUCGUGGACGGCAUUGCAGCGCUGCGGCGGGCCACCCAGGAGUUGAAGGCCAGCCCGCCUGCCGCCGACAGCGGUGUGAUCCGAUUCGAGGUACUUGUUCCACCCAGCACGAAGGCACUCAAAUGGUUGUGCUCUCAGUUUAGGGGGUCAUCACUGUUCCCUCAGUUCUAUCUAUCAAGAAAGCUAAGCUCCGAUCCAUCAAUUCAACUGGACAUAUCUGGUGUUGGUUCUGCACUAUGCUUGCAUGGUUCCUCACAUGCAAAAAAUGGGUGUGAUUUGAUAUCAAGAUAUAUUUCAUUUGAUUCAGAGUUCAUAGGAGCUUAUGGAUCAGUAGGCAUGAAGUGUGACAAGGAGUUGUUAUCAAUAGAGGAAAAUGCUGAUUCAUUUUACUUUUUUAUUCCUCAGGUUGAGUUGACUGAAUUUGAUGGCUAUUCCGUGCUAUCAUCAACUAUGGUUUGGGAUCAUUCUGUAUCUCAUACAUUUGAGGAUUCGGUUUGUUUGUCUGAAUCUUGUUUCAAUCAGGUAUGUGGUAGCUACGAUUCUACAGCCAGCACCUGUUAUGAAGGCAUGAUGAAGAGUUACAUUGGAGAAUCGUAUGUGUUAGAGACUGGGAAUGCUCAGUUGGUAUACUUGGAUGCCGAAGUUCUUGCCAAAGUGAAUGCCACAACUAGCAUGCAAAAGGAGAAAUUUCUGAUGUCCAAGCAGUCAUUUAUUCGCGUUUCGGCACAGUUCUUAUUUUCUGCAAACAUGGACCUAUGCUCACAGAGCAACAAAACGGAAUCGUUUAUUAAGAGCUGCUCUAACAUUAAUUCAGCAUGGGCAUCCCUUAUAGUUGAAGAAUGCGUCAGGCUUGGUUUCACGUACUUCUGUAUAGCUCCAGGGUCAAGGUCAUCCCCACUUGCACUUUCUGCUACAGGCCAUCCUUUGACAACUUGCAUAUCGUGUUAUGAUGAACGUUCACUUGGAUUUCAUGCCGUGGGAUAUGGGAGAGGUUGUAGAAAGCCUGCAAUAGUAAUUACGUCAUCAGGAACUGCUGUAUCAAAUCUUUUCCCUUCGGUGGUGGAGGCAAGUCAAGAUUUCAUACCAGUUGUGUUACUAACAGCUGAUCGUCCUCCUGAGCUGCAUGAUGCUGGAGCCAACCAAGCGAUUAAUCAGGUCAAUCAUUUUGGUAACUAUGUGAGAUAUUUUUUUAAUCUCCCUCCACCUGGUGAUCAGAUGUAUGCAAGAGUGAUUCUUACAACAGUUGAUUCAGCAGCCUAUAAUGCAAUGCAAGCACCACAAGGUCCAGUGCAUAUAAACUGUGCUUUUAGAGAACCACUAGAUCACAGCAAUCAAGGUUGGAGUUUUGAUUGUUUGAGAGGGCUGGACAGGUGGUUUAGAAAUAAUGAACCAUAUACUAGAUACCUGGGAAUGAAAAUGGUCUCUGCAUUUGGUAAUUAUUCGUGUUCAACAAUAGAGGUUCUAGAUAUCAUAAAAAAGGCAAACAAAGGGCUUCUAUUAAUUGGAGCUGUUCAUAAAGAAGAUGAUAUGUGGGCUGUGGCUUUACUAGCUAGACACCUUUCCUGGCCAGUUGCCGCUGACAUUCUGUCUGGACUGCGAAUGAGGAAAGUUCUAAAUUCAUUUCCAGAACUUGAUAAGAAUAUUUUGUUUAUAGACUACAUAGAUCAAAUUCUUCUGUCGGACUCUGUAAAAAGCUGGAUAAAUCCAGAUGUUAUUGUCCAGAUUGGAAGCCGGAUUACUAGCAAACGCGUGGAAAUGUUUCUCGAGUCUUGCUUCCCAUCUUCUUACAUCUUGAUUGAUACGCAUCCGUGCCGCCAUGAUCCUUCACAUGUUGUCACUCACAGAAUCCAGACUAGUGUAUCUGAAUUUGCUGCUAGUUUGUGCCAAUGUAAUUUAGAAAGGAAGACAAGCAGAUGGCAGGAUAUUUUGAUGGUUCUGAAUUCAGUGGUUUCACAGGAGAUAAUAUGUCAUGUACAUUCGGAGUCCUCACUUACAGAACCAUAUGUUGCUCAUGUAAUCGGAGAGGCACUUUACGGUGAUGCUGUCAUGUUUGUUGGGAAUAGCAUGGUCAUUCGAGACUUGAACAUGUUUGGGAAGGGCUGGCUUGAACACACCACCCACGGAGGUAACAUGAUAAUGCACAGUAUUCCUGACUUUGUUGGUGCAACUGUUGCUGGGAACAGAGGAGCAAGUGGUAUCGAUGGUUUGCUUAGCACGGCAAUUGGAUUUGCUGUUGGAUCAAACAAGCGUGUAUGCUGUGUUGUUGGUGACAUAUCUUUUCUUCAUGAUACAAAUGGACUAUCACUUCUCAACCAAAGGGACCAUAGGAAACCCAUGACAGUAAUUGUAAUCAACAACCAUGGUGGUGCAAUCUUCAGCCUUCUACCAGUUGCAAAAACAACGUCACCCCAAAUUUUGCAGAAAUACUUCUACACCUCACAUGAUAUAUCGAUUUCCAAACUCUGUGCUGCACACAGGGUAAAGCAUUUUUUAGUUCAAACAAAAACAGAACUUCAUGAUACCUUGCUGAAGACCCGUGCAGAACAUCUUGAUUGUGUGGUGGAAGUAGAGAACCACAUUGAUGAAAAUGCCAACUUUCAUAGAACUAUAAGUAUGUUCGUAGGCAAUACUGCAACCUACUAUCUGAAUUAUCUUCUCGGAGGUCAGACUAGGAGUGAUUUAGAUGGCAUGCAUAAUCGCAAAAUUCGUGCAGUGGAAUACAUGUUGUACAGAAUCCAGCUUUCUGCACCUCGUACUUCAGGGGCUUCAGAUAGUAGCUUUUCUCAUGAAGGCUUUAUUCUGAAGUUAUGUAUGGAUGCCAACAUUGUAGGAUUCGGAGAGGUUGCACCAAUUGAAAUUCACGAGGAGGAUAUGGUAGAUGUUGAAGAGCAACUUAGGUUUCUCUUCCACAGAGUGAAAGAUUGUGAGCUAAAUGUUGUUCCUUUGUUGAGAGGGUCUUUGUCCAAUUGGAUAUGGACAAGCAUUGGUAUUCCUCCUUCUUCGGUAUUUCCAAGUGUUAAGUGUGGCCUGGAGAUGGCCAUUCUUAAUUUGCUUGCAUCUCAGCAAAAAAUUAGUUUAUCUGAAAUCCUCACUGGUUCCAACCCAUUACUAGGAGAUCAGAGUUUGGUGGAAUAUAAUCAGAACAGAUCUACACGCAUACAGAUAUGUGCACUUUUAGACUCCUAUGGUACCCCGAUGGAGGUAGCACUAGCUGUGGCCAAACUUGUCGAGGAAGGCUUUACCACCGUGAAACUGAAGGUUGGGCGUCGUGAAACUCCUGCUGAAGAUGCAGCUGUCAUUGAAAAAAUAAGAGAAGUUGUAGGGUACAAGAUCAACAUCCGUGCUGAUGCAAAUCGGAAAUGGACAUAUGAGCAAGCAAUUGAAUUUGGAUCCAGGGUAAAAAGAUUUUGUUUGCAAUACAUUGAGGAACCAGUGAUCUCAGUAGAUGAUCUCAUCAAGUACUGUGAAAACAGUGGCUUGCCUGUUGCUUUAGACGAGAGUAUUGACAACCUUAAGGGGGAUCCAAUCGAUAAGCUUCAGCAAUUCGUACAUCCAGGAAUAGUUGCGGUUGUUAUAAAACCCAGUGUUGUUGGUGGCUUUGAGAGGGCAGCUCAUAUAGCAAAAUGGGCUCACAUGCAUGAUAAGAUGGCUGUCAUCAGUAGUGCGUACGAGAGUUCUGUAGGUUUGGCGACCUAUAUACAGUUUGCAUAUUAUGUUGACAGACAACAUGACCUAGUUGCCAGAAUAAAGAGAAAUGAUUCAUGUGGAAGUGUGGCUCAUGGGCUUGGAACAUAUCAAUGGUUAAGAGAAGAUGUAUCAGGACAGAAGUUAAAAAUCCAUGCCCCCUCGCUAGGUGAUGGAAUGGGAGCUUCAGUAGAAGAUGCCCAUGGCUAUCUCCAGCAUUUAAGUAUAAACAAUGAGAAGAUAGAAAGAACAUACAGUGAAGAAAAAAUAAAGUCAUAUUCUGUCCAAGUCGAUGGGGAUGAUUUUUCUUAUCUAGUUAAUCUUCAAGAGGCUGGUGAUUGUACAAAUGAUAAAGUUGUUCUUUUUCUUCAUGGAUUUCUUGGCACAAGUGAGGACUGGACUCCCAUGAUGAAAGCUCUCGCUCCCAGUGCACGGGUCAUUGCUGUUGACCUUCCUGGCCAUGGGAAAUCCCAAAUUCCCCAGCAUGAUGCUGAAAAUUUCAGUCAAAUGUCUGUUACAGUUCAAUCGAUUGCAGAUUUGUUGCUGAAGUUGAUAUACUGUAUAACUGAUGGAGAGGUGGUUGUUGUUGGCUACUCAAUGGGUGCAAGGAUUGCACUCCACAUGGCACUAAGUCAAAAUCAGAAGAUUAGUGGAGCUAUUUUGAUAUCGGGGAGUCCUGGUUUGAGACAUGAAGUAAGUAGAAGACGUCGUAGUGCUAUUGAUAAAUCAAGAGCUCAAUUCCUGUUGUCUUCCGGACUAGAAUGUUUUAUCGAGACAUGGUACUCUGGAAAAAUGUGGGCCAGUCUAAGAGGACAUCCACAAUUUGAUUCCCUCGUGAGGACACGCAGAAAGCACAGUAACAUUACAGAUCUAUCUAAGGUUCUUGCUGACUCGAGCGUAGGAAGACAAAAGUCCCUGUGGGAAGACCUGAAAGACUUGAAGAAGCCUCUCCUCAUCGUUACAGGUGAGAAGGACGUUAAAUUCAGAGAGAUAUCUGAGCAAAUGUGCAGCGAGAUAAGAAAGCACGGGGAACGUGAAGCCGAUUGCCGUGACAGGCAGGAGCUUUGUGAAAUGAUGGUUGUCCCAGAAAGUGGCCAUGCUGUGCACGUCGAGAACCCUCUUCCUUUAGUUAGAGCCAUCAGGAAGUUCUUGCUGAAGCUGCACAAGACAUGACGCCUUAGUGUCGGCAUACUACAAAAUGACAGAUCUAUCCUGGAGUUGACGGAUCUAUCCUUUAGUUUUGCCAUAUUGAGUCGACGGAAGAAAAUGUUUCCUCUGUAUCUCGUGAUGGUACUAGUUCAGUAGGGGACACCUUGCUACAUUUCACGCCGGACAUCUAUCGGUGCACGGGCCAUGAGCCCACAUGAAUUACUGGAGUAAUUAACCUGUCACUCAAGUGGGUUAACUAGAUGGAGCAGCUGAGCGAGAUUUCUCACGAGCGUCAAGUAAGCUGUAGAGGUACGUGGAUAGAGGGUCACCAUGAGCUGCAGGAGGACUCUUCUUGCAGUCGCUCUGCUCAUCUCCCUGCUCGCCCCCGUCGCUCAUGGUCGAUACGUGAAGGACCAAUCCAUACCGACCGGUGAUUCCCCUUCCGUGAUGAAAGGGUUACAACAAGGAGUUCACGGGGAACUCGACCGAGGGAAGACCAGGAAAUUUGAAAACCUGGGAGCCAAGAUGCCAAAUGGAGAAGAUGCACAAGAAUCUUUUGGAUCAAACACUCACAACGGAGCGAGUCUCGGUGUCGAGUCUAAUAAGGCUGCUCGCCGCGGAAGAGGUCCCGUUCCUCACCCGAAAAAACAUCCGUACCAGUGGUUUCAACAAGGAGUUCACGGGGAGCUCGACUGGGGGAAGACCAGGAAAUUUGAAAACGUGGGAGCCAAGAUGCCAAAUGGAGAAGAUGCACAAGAAUCGUUUGGAUCAAACACUCAUAAUGGAGCGAAUCUCGGUGUCGAGUCUAAUAAGGCUGCUCGCCGCGGAAGAGGUGCCGUCCCUCACCCGAAAAAACAUCCGUACCAGUGGUUUCAACAAGGAGUUCACGGGGAGCUCGACUGGGGGAAGACCAGGAAAUUUGAAAACGUGGGAGCCAAGAUGCCAAAUGGAGAAGAUGCACAAGAAUCUUUUGGAUCAAACACUCACAAUGGAGCGAGUCUCGGUGUCGAGUCUAAUAAGGCUGCUCGCCGCGGAGGAGGUCACAUUAAUAAACCCAAAAGGCACAACUAAAGCAUGUGUAGACAUAGAGCUACUGAAUGAUGCACAAGCCAACUAUCUCAAAAGUCCGGACCGAUGGGAAAAAAAAAGCUAGACAAUAUAUUUAUUUCAACACU